UCUAUGAAGUAGAUGCGUGUGCCAAAUACCGGAACGUUUAUUGUAUUUGCUUUGUGCCGUAUUUCACCUGCGGCUUGAUGAUUCCUCGCGAGGAACGAGUAGAUAUUGAGCUGUGUGUUGUAUGUCUACGAAGAGCCUGUCAGAAACCUACUGGAUGUUUUUAUGGAAUCGACGUAAUGCGUGAGGUUGUCACCUGUUUUUCUGACAGCGACAAUGCCGUCCAAAUGCGAUCAGUCUGCGCAUAAUCAUCAAUUGGGCAAAUCACUAAGUUUGUUAACUUCCCUGCACGAAUAUCAGUGUAGUCAUAUUUUAGAGUUAUAUGCCUCUACUGCGCAACAGGAAAAACUGACUGAUUUUUGUUAAAAAUGCAAUUCCAUAGUAGGCCAACGCUGGCAGUCCUGGCGGGAUGUCAUUGGCGUCUAAAGGUGAACGUGUGCGUAUGGCCGAAACGGUGUUGCGGCCGAGCGUCUGAACGCAGGCAACAGUAGCGAGAGCAAGUAUCGCUAUUGAGAAUCAACAUUAUAAGAUCGGCCGGCACCACUGUCAACGUUAUCGUCAUUAUGUCCAGUGGAUCAGGACUUCUCUUCGGGGGCCUAACAGCCGCCGGGGAGGGUUGACGCGGAGUGAAUGAACCUUUGAUUGAACGCAGCUGUGAGCCAUCGCUUGGCUUAAAUUGCGGCUAAACUUCAAAUCAUUUCUAAAUUAUCUGGUACUGACGUUUAAGAUGAACUUCUCGGAAAGCAUCUAUCGAAAAAAAAGCAAAUUAUUUGAGUUCUUCAUUCCGGCUCACUACACAGACGCGUUCAGCCAAUGUACCA